rnacentral:lncRNA from 1 species
UAUAUAUAUAUAUAUAUAUAAAGAAUUGAGCUCCUACACUUUUAAAAGUACCAAGUAAUUGGUGCUUGUAGGUUUGCAGCUCUUGGGUUAAGAGAUGUGCAGUCCCCUAGAGUUGAGUGGAUGGUUGGUUGAAUAAUAUAAUCUAAUGGGUGAAAAUGAUUACAGGAAUAAAUCUAACGGUGAAAAACUUACGAGCAUCGAAUGCUUUGUACUUUUAAAAGUACCACAGCCGGACUCAUAUAUAAAUAUAAUUGAGCUCCUAUAUUUUUAAAAGUACCACGUCAUGCAUUAGUGUUUGUAGGUUUUUGACCCUUAAAUUAGGGAAUGAGCGGUUAGGAUGAAGCAGUCUCUUAGGGCCGAGUGAGUGGUUGAUUGAAUAAUGUGAUCUAAUAGAUAGAAAUAAUCAAAGAGGUAGAUUUAAAGGCGAAAAACUUAUAAGCAAAAGUAUUUUGUGUUUUUAAAAACACUAUAGCUGGACUCUCUCUCUCUCUCUC